rnacentral:sRNA from 1 species
UCCAUUGUUGACACGACGCUGGCCAU